rnacentral:rRNA from 1 species
UAGGGAAUAUUGGGCAAUGGUCGAGAGACUGACCCAGCCAUGCCGCGUGCAGGAUGAAGGCUUUCUGAGUCGUAAACUGCUUUUACCAGGGAAGAAAAAAGGGGAUGCGUCCUCUACUGACGGUACCUGGUGAAUAAGCACCGGCUAACUCCGUGCCAGCAGCCGCGGUAAUACGGAGGGUGCAAGCGUUGUCCGGAUUUAUUGGGUUUAAAGGGUGCGUAGGCGGCUUUUUAAGUCCGGGGUGAAAGCCCGUUGCUCAACAACGGAACUGCCCCGGAAACUGGAGAGCUUGAGUACAGACGAGGGUGGCGGAAUGGACGGUGUAGCGGUGAAAUGCACAGAUACCGUCCAGAACCCCGAUUGCGAAGGCAGCUGCCCAGACUGUAACUGACGCUGAGGCACGAAAGCGUGGGGAGCGAACA